GAAAUGCGAUAAGUAAUGUGAAUUGUAGAAUUCCGUGAAUCAUCGAAUCUUUGAACGCACAUUGCGCCCUCUGGUAUUCCGGGGGGCAUGCCUGUCCGAGCGUCAUUGCGAACCCCUCAAGCACGGCUUGUGUGAUGGGCCCUCCCGCGUCUUGGUCGUCAAGACGGGCCCGAAAUGCAGUGGCGGCUUCGCGGUUAUCCGAUCAGCCAGAGCGUAUGGGGACUUUCUCUCUGUCACACGCCCGCGGCGCGGACCGACGCCUGUCGACCUUUAUUCAUCUUUUUCUCGGUUGACCUCGGAUCAGGUAGGGAUACCCGCUGAACUUAAGC
rnacentral:misc_RNA from 1 species